rnacentral:rRNA from 1 species
AGGGUUAAGGUUUUUAUGCCUGAGUAGUAUUAGUUAUGUUCUUGAACUUAAAGAAUUUGGCGGUAUCUUAUUCCAUUCAGAGGAAUCUGUCUCGUUAUCGAUAGUCCGCGUUGGACCUUACUUGGAAGUUGUGGUUUGUAUACCGCCGUUUAUUGAUUAUCUUUUGAGAGUUGAUUUUCUGGUUUCUUUAUUUUGAUUGAUUUCAGGUCAAGGUGCAGCCUUUAUCUAAGUGUGAUAGAUGGAUUACAGUGUUUAUUUGUUGUUUGGAUUGUUUGGUUUUAAUACUAGCAUGAAAUUGGAUUUGGUUGUAAUGUUUUGUAGAUUGUUUUUAUGAUAAUUGGUUCUAAGAUAUGUACACAUCGCCCGUCGCUCUCGUUUAGUUGUUAAUGAGAUAAGUCGUAAAAUAGUAA